UACGUAGGGUGCAAGCGUUAAUCGGAAUUACUGGGCGUAAAGCGUGCGCAGGCGGUUGUGCAAGACAGAUGUGAAAUCCCCGGGCUUAACCUGGGAACUGCAUUUGUGACUGCACGGCUAGAGUGUGUCAGAGGGGGGUAGAAUUCCACGUGUAGCAGUGAAAUGCGUAGAUAUGUGGAGGAAUACCGAUGGCGAAGGCAGCCCCCUGGGAUAACACUGACGCUCAUGCACGAA
rnacentral:rRNA from 1 species